CUUGACAUACAUAAGAGGUCCAGCCUGCCCAGUGACUAAGUUCAACGGCCGCGGUAUCCUAACCGUGCGAAGGUAGCGUAAUCACUUGUUCUUUAAAUGAGGACUAGUAUGAAUGGCACCACGAGGGUUGUACUGUCUCCUUUUUUUAAUCAAUGAAACUGAUCUCCCCGUGAAGAAGCGGGGAUAAAAAUAUAAGACGAGAAGACCCUAUGGAGCUUUAAACAAUUAUAGCACUGGCCCACAUCUCCUAUUCUUCUGAGAUAUAACUAUUAUACAGGCCAGCAUGACUAUUAGUUUUAGGUUGGGGUGACCGCGGAGCAAAAACCAACCUCCACGUUGAACGGAGCUACUCCUGAGCUGAAAACUACAACUUUAAGCACCAAUAAACUGACAUUAAUUGACCCAACAUGUUGAGCAACGAAC
rnacentral:rRNA from 1 species